GCUCUUUUAGUUCAGUUGGCUAUAGCGUAGUGCUGUAAGAAAGAGAUUGCAGGUUCAAAACCUGUCUGGAGCA